rnacentral:lncRNA from 1 species
CGAAAAAAGGUCAUUUAUUCAAAAUCAUAAAAUGCAAAAAAUACAUUUUGCAAAUAAAACAUUUGACAUAAUAGUUCAUAUUUAAUAUGAAAUAAUAAUACAUAAUUAAUACGAAAUUACAUCAACUAAUAUCAUGUCAAUUGAAUAAAUGACAAAGAAUAGCAAAGGUGGGGAGAAAAAUCUGCCCCAUAAAUAAACAUAUAUACAUAUCUACUUCAAAAGAUAACAUUAAGGGUGGUAUGUGGGUGGGAAUUUUGAACAAAUUGUUUGAUAAGAAUCACAAGUUAACACAUCAAAUGCUGAUGAGAAAAGGAAGUGACCACAAUACACUUACACGUGAACUCGUACUGACCCGCAAGAUCAUUGACCAAUAAGAAAGAUGAUAUCCAAUCAUGCAUUGAUCAUAAGUGAAAUUUCUCUGCACGUGAAAACAUGUUAUCUAAUUUCAACAAUUUAUCGUUUAAUUAAGACACUCUGACCCUUUGACCAGACUAGAGACAUCGUACAUUUACAGUAUUAAUAGCUGACUCAUGUAUUUAAGUCGGUUAGUAAUAACCAAUUAAAACAGAAUUAUCUUCUCUGCUGUCUUAAAUUAUUUUAUUCCGCUUAAUUUUCAAUUAGCAAAUAAAAUUGGUUUUAAGACAGACAGCUAGAUACCAUAAACAUACUAUGUAUACACAAGCCAGAGUCUGAGCUUGAUUUGCUAUAUGAUAUAAAAACUAAACUGACGAAAAAAGGUCAUUUAUUUCAAAAUCAUAAAAUGCAAAAAAUACAUAAAACAUUUGACAUAAAAGUUCAUAUUUAAUAUGAAAUAAUAAUACAUAAUUAAUACGAAAUUACAUCAACUAAUAUCAUGUCAAUUGAAUAAAUGACAAAGAAUAGCAAAGGUGGGGAGAAAAAUCUGCCACAAAUCCACUCUUAGGCUGAAAGAGUGGAUCUGAAAUCCACUCUAAGGCUGAAAGAGCGGAUCCCCCACCCGAGGACUCUGGCGACGUGAAUACAAUUAUAUAUGACUUGAAAAAAAAAUACAUUCACAUACAUGUACACCAAACACAUAUCACUUUAUUAUGUAAAACGUUUCCACAUUUAGCAGAAAUAUUAAAAGUUCAUAUUAUCAUAUACCAAGAUAUUACUUUAAAAUUAUCUCUUACUGGUAAAAAUGAUUAAAGGUGUAAAUCCUAUUUCGGCCAGUGAAAAUUCAAACAAAACUAAAGUACAUUUUUACGAAGCCCUGGAUCCUUCCUAAAUACGAAGUUUUAUAUCUGACUAUUUCUGUAAGGGAUCAUAAGCAAAGGAUUCUCAUACUACACUUGACAUUUUUCAAUCGAAAAUGUAUAAAUAUAAAAAAGAAGAUGGUAUGAUUGCCAAUGAGACAGUUCACCACAAGAGACCAAAAUAACACGGAAAUUAACGACUAUAGGUCAUCGCACGGCCUUGAAAAAUGAGCAAAGCCCAUAUUGCAUAGUCAGGCCCCAAAAUGACCAUGUAAAACAAUUCAAACGAGAAAACUAACGGCCUUAUUUAUAUAAAAAAAAAAAUUAACGAAAAACUUAUAUGUAACACAUAAACAAACGACAACCACUGAACUACAGGCUCCUAACUUGGAACAGGCACAUACAUACAUAAUGUGGCGGGGGCGAAUUCCAUAGGGUAAAAGUUUUUAAAUUGAAAUUAGUAAAUAAGUAUUAAGUGUAAACCUUUUUUUAACUCUCAGUUAUUUUUGUUGUGAUCCGAAUUGAUAUGAGACUAUAGAAAUAAUUUUCGUAACUCAUGAUACGGUAAAAAGAAAAGCUUUAAUCACAAUUUUUAAUAUACA